rnacentral:rRNA from 1 species
CAGUAGCCGCGGUAAUACGUAGGUGGCAAGCGUUGUCCGGAUUUAUUGGGCGUAAAGCGAGCGCAGGCGGUUCCUUAAGUCUGAUGUGAAAGCCCACGGCUCAACCGUGGAAGGUCAUUGGAAACUGGGGAACUUGAGUGCAGAAGAGGAGAGUGGAAUUCCAUGUGUAGCGGUGAAAUGCGAAGAUAUAUGGGGGAACACCAGUGGCGAAGGCGACUCCCUGGUCUGUAACUGACGCUGAGGCUCGAAAGCGUGGGGAGCAAACAGGAUUAGAUACCCCGGUAGUCCCUGUCUCUUAUAC